UACGGAGGGUGCGAGCGUUAUCCGGAAUUACUGGGUUUAAAGGGUGCGUAGGCGGCCAAGUAAGUCAGGAGUGAAAGUUUGCGGCUCAACCGUAAAAUUGCUUUUGAUACUGCUUAGCUAGAAUCAGGAUGAGGUUAGCGGAAUGUGGCAUGUAGCGGUGAAAUGCAUAGAUAUGCCAUAGAACACCAAUUGCGAAGGCAGCUGGCUAGACCUGUAUUGACGCUGAGGCACGAAAGCGUGGGGAGCAAACAGG
rnacentral:rRNA from 1 species